CAAACCCUAAUUUCAUUUUCUAUCAGCUUCCUCUCCCAUCGAAACUACUAUAGAUCUUCCGAUUAAAUUCGUGCAGCAGUUGAGCAAUCCUUCAUUGCUGAUUUUCCCUUUUGAUUCAAGUUUCUACCAUUCGAUUCAUGGCAGUUUGAUGAUAUGGAUUUUAUUUCAUCGCCAUUGAAGACGAGGCUCUUCUGAUGAUUAUGUUCAAGCCAAGAAAACCCUAACAUCCAUCUCUUUCGGCAUUCCCUUUCAUCGAUCUACCAGAGAAUCAUUAUCAAUAGCGGAGAUUCUUUCUUUUCUAAAACCCUAGAUAUGAAAUUCAUUUUCUUUCUGAUCUACUCAUCUUCGAUCCAGAAUAUUCAAACUUCAAUCAUCAGAGAGGUUAACUAGAGAUAUAGGGAGAGAGAGAGAGAAGAAUGGGAGUCAGCCACUUUAUGGACCCAGUUAAUCACUUCACAGCAGGUAACAUUCAGGUAUUUCAUUGUUCAGAUUUAAAACAUGUUUUGAAUAUGUGUGUUUACAUGCACACGAAUGGAGAUUACAUUAUGUUUUGGUUUUGAUUCGUGUUAGUUAGGUAAUACCCCAACUUUUCAUUCUACUGAUUUGACCCGUUAUGGCUUCAAGUUUGGUGUGUGGGUUUUAGGGUGUUGCCACAUAUUUGAAGAUGUGUUGGUUUCUUAGAUUCAAGAAAAAAAAAUUCACUGCAUGUAUGUUUUUAAAUAAUUAUUUUAUGAUACCAUAUAGAUGUCCUAAGUUUUUCCGGCCGAAGAAAAGCAUAAGGUAAAACAAACAUCAUUUCAAAACAAUAUAAAAUUGAAUGGUUCAAGAAACUUUAUACUGAUUGUUGAUUGCAGUUGUUUUGUAGAAUUAAGAAUGAUAUGUUCCAGUCAAACAGUCCUCGAGACUGCAUCAGCUAUGCAAGUUACCAUUCUAAGAGAUUGGUGAACAAAUGUGCUUUGUGGUUUUGCAUCUUUUCAAAUUGAAGAUUGGAGGUGAUAAGUGGUGAUUCGGUUUAGGUGUCUUUAGAAGCGUCAGAAUUGAAUAUUCCAGGAAUCUAUUUGAUCCAUGACUUUGUUUCAGCUCAAGAAGAGGAGCAACUGAUUGCUGCAGUUGAUGCAAGGCCUUGGCAUAGUCUUGCAAAAAGAAGGGUUCAACAUUACGGCUAUGAAUUUUGCUAGCAUAAUGGGUGAGUGGAUGACCAUAAUUCAAGAAUCCAAUAUGCUCAUCGUAUGACGCUCUUAUCAGAUCUAAUCUACAAGUGCGGCUGCUGUGUUUGAGUUGUUUUUGAAAUUGAAUAAUGACGUCACGAGACGGUAGACCCCGGGGAACCUUUGAGCGUUGAUAUUUGAUAGUGAUGUGGUUUGGGGCAGAGCAAGAGCAGCCUGUGUUUAAAUGGCUAGGGGUACUUUUACCAAUAUCCACCAUGUUAACAAGCUCUUAAAUGAAGAAGUUGGCCCAAAGACCAUGCAUAUGCCAACUGUAGAGAAACUAUCCGUGUUCGAUGCAUCAUCAGUAACUUUACUGGGGAUACUUUUAACCGGGGCACCUGGCACAGGCAAAACUCUACUUGCCAAGGCUAUUGCUGGAGAAGCUAAGGUUCCUUUUUUCUAUAGAGCAGGUUCCGAGUAGGAAGAAAUGUUUGUUGGUGUUGGUGCUCGAAGAGUGAGAUCCUUAUUCCACGCAACAAAGAAGAAGCUUUAUACUUUCAUCUAUUGCAUUUAUGGUUUUAAUUAUAGAUUUCCAAGUUGUUAAUUAUUACUAUUUUUUUGAAUUUGUUAGGCUUCAUGCAUAAAAAGAUUUAAGGGUGUGUUGAUGACUAUUGAACCCUUGCUUUUGAUUGUAAUUUAAAUUUUCCUACCCGGGUAUCUACCCGGGGAAUAACCUAGUCA
rnacentral:lncRNA from 1 species